rnacentral:snRNA from 1 species
AUACUCUCGUUUCUCUUCAGAUUGUAUAGAUCAUUCGCCUUUUACUAAAUAUUUCCAUGGAGAGGAACAUUUAUGAGUUUGUAACUAAUUUUUUGAGGUCCUCAAUUUAAAAAAGACA